AUGCCCCUGCCCUGGCAUUGCCACCUCAGGUCCCUGCCUGGAAGAAGCAUUAUGGGCCAGGAGACAGGGGUCAGGGAUGGAGCCUGGGGCAGGGACCAGGAAACAACAGCUCAGUGUAGGUGGGGGAAGGGGUGUUUGCUUCCAGAAACACCAUCCUCUCUAGGUCUGAGCCUGGUGGUCCUUUCCAAGUGUCAGUGCCUUAGGGAUCCCUCGGUGGUGGCCCUUCGGUUUGGAGACCCCUCUGAGAGGAGGCACUUUGGAGGGGCCCCUCUGUGGCCUUCAGUCCCAAGGGCCCUUUCUUGGAGGCUCACGCGGCCCCAAGGGGUCAUGAGGCUGCUUGUCUCCAAGGCUUGUUUGUGCAGGGACCCCGCCCGCCCACACGCUCCCGCCCGCUCUUCCCAGCAGAGAAGCCCGGAGUCAGGCAAACAGCCGGCUGCGGUCAGCCUGCGGUCAGGCCGCAGAGACCCCGCCCCGCAGGGGCAGCGGGCACAAGGCCGAGCCCACUCCUCCAGCCCCUUCCCGCCACUCCCCUCCACGAGGACAGCGGCCGGCCCCCCCCAAAGCCUCCCGAACCCCAGUCCGAGCUGGCUCGGGGAGAUGCCCGGGAGUCCCGGGGCGGGGGGUGGUGGGGGCGAGGCGCGGGAAGGCGCCCGGCCCCCAGGGUGGGGGGCACGGGACUCACCGCGGCAGGGGGAGGUGGGCGCAGGAGCCGGAGGGCAGGAGGGAGCGGAGCCCCAGCCCAGCCCGGAGGUGUCCAGCUUCUGCCUUGAUGCCGGAGGGAGGAGACCGCCCAGGCCCGCCUCUCACCCGCCUCCCGCCCCCCAGCAGCCGGGCGGGGUGCCCGGGUCCCUCCGCCCGUCCCGGCCCACGCGCGCCCCUCUGCAGGGGGCAGGCGGGAAGGCGCCUCCGGGACAGACCCCCCUCCGGGCACCGGGCGUCUGCCGCCCCGGUGUGCUCUGCAUCCUAGAGGCCCGAGAGGGAGCCCUGCCCGGGAGUUCGGUCUGA
rnacentral:lncRNA from 1 species